rnacentral:misc_RNA from 1 species
AAAAGACUCCAGCUUAACUUGAAAACAGUGGCCCAAAAAGUAAAUCUACGUGACAGGUUUAAGCAAAUGACGGAAAUAUUCAGCCUGGCAAUCUUGAAGAGGAUGAAAGCAUGCUAUGACUCUAACUAUAAUGGUAGCACUCCCAGCAAUCCCAUUUUCGUGUUUUAAUGCCCGAAAAUUUGUUUGGCUCGCUGCUUGGCACACCAUAACUACUUCCCAACCCUUCAAUAUAAUGAAAACAACAAGAAUACGAUCUUCCUGGGGACAAAAAACUGAACGCUUGCAAUUUGAGUAGACAACGCAAUAUCAAUCGAACAACAGGAAACCAGAUUUAUAAACAACAAGGAGACACCCCACACAAGGAGCCGGAGAGAGUAGACCAACUAAAUACAACAAUCACUGGGAUUUAUUGUCAAGCAAGAGAAUGAAAGUGAUUUGAACAGACAAAACGCUGAAUUCCCCUAUUCAGCUAAUCUGGCGG